rnacentral:rRNA from 1 species
UACGUAGGGUGCAAGCGUUAAUCGGAAUUACUGGGCGUAAAGCGUGCGCAGGCGGUUUUGCAAGACAGAUUGGAAAUCCCCGGGCUCAACCUGGGAACUGCAUUUGUGACUGCAAGGCUAGAAUCUGGCAGAGGGGGGUAGAAUUCCACGUGUAGCAGUGAAAUGCGUAGAUAUGUGGAGGAAUACCGAUGGCGAAGGCAGCCCCCUGGGCUAAGAUUGACGCUCAUGCACGAAAGCGUGGGGAGCAAACAGG